UACGGAGGGGGCUAGCGUUGUUCGGAAUUACUGGGCGUAAAGCGCACGUAGGCGGCUUUGUAAGUUAGAGGUGAAAGCCCGGGGCUCAACUCCGGAAUUGCCUUUAAGACUGCAUCGCUAGAAUUGUGGAGAGGUAAGUGGAAUUCCGAGUGUAGAGGUGAAAUUCGUAGAUAUUCGGAAGAACACCAGUGGCGAAGGCGACUACCUGGCCUGUUCUUGACGCUGAGGCGCGAAAGCUAGGGGAGCAAACGGG
rnacentral:rRNA from 1 species